rnacentral:sRNA from 1 species
UGAAUACCAGAAAUAUAGUGCACUCUUC